rnacentral:rRNA from 1 species
AAACAUCGCCUCCUGCUCACCCAUAGGAGGUCCAGCCUGCCCGGUGACAAAGUUUAACGGCCUCGGUACCCUAACCGCGCAAAGGUAGCAUAAUCACUUGUUCUUUAAUUAAGGACCUGUAUCAACGGCAUCACGAGAGCUGAACUGUCUCCCCUUUCUAAUCAGUGAACCUGACCUCUUCGUGAAGAAGCGAAGAUAUAAAUAUAAGACGAGAAGACCCCAUGGAGCUUAAAACCAAAUAACACACUCUUUACACCUAUCUUAAAAAAUAAGAAACCUGUUAGCUAGUUUUUGGAUGGGGUAUCCAAGGAGUAAAAUACAACCUCCCUAACAACACAUCUUAGAGCUACAACUCCGAGAAACAGCAAACUGAUGUAAAAUGACCCGAUCAUCGAUCAACGAACCAAGUUACCCUGGGGAUAACAGCGCAAUCCAUUUUGAAAGCCCCUAUCGACGAAUGGGUUUACGACCUCGAUGUUGGAUCAGGGUAUCCCAGUGGUGCAGCCGCUACUAAAGGUUCGUUUGUUCAACGAUUAAAACCCUAC